CCCGCCCCCGCCGUCCCCCGCCGCCUGGCGCCCGGGAGGUCUGCCGAUCUCCGCCCGGCCGGGGGAUCUUGCGCCAUCCUCGCUUUCGAGGCGCCCAUCCGCCCGCUUCUCCCCGUCCCCGGCCGUUUGGGGAAGGGUCCGCUCCUGCGUCUUCUCACCUCCGCGCUUCUCCGUGCGCCCUCACCCUACGGGGGCAUUUGAGCAUUCGCCUUUCCUGCCUCCAGUUUCCACAACUCUCCAGGACGGUGGGAAAGCCUCCCGCCUCGGCCUCCUGGCCUGCAGCCAGGGGCGAGUUUGGGUGUCCUCCAGAGUUUGGCCAGUGAGAUUGGAUAUUUGCACUUCUGCACAACAGAGAUCUUUUAAGUAAGGUUCUGAACGAUGACUGACGCGGGUCCGCGCGGUGGCCCUCGCCGUCCCCGUCGCUGCGCAGCGCCCCGGAGCCCGCAGGUCUAGCGCCCGCACCC
rnacentral:lncRNA from 1 species